rnacentral:rRNA from 1 species
CGAGCGAACGGACGAGAAGCUUGCUUCUCUGAUGUUAGCGGCGGACGGGUGAGUAACACGUGGAUAACCUACCUAUAAGACUGGGAUAACUUCGGGAAACCGGAGCUAAUACCGGAUAAUAUUUUGAACCGCAUGGUUCAAAAGUGAAAGACGGUCUUGCUGUCACUUAUAGAUGGAUCCGCGCUGCAUUAGCUAGUUGGUAAGGUAACGGCUUACCAAGGCAACGAUGCAUAGCCGACCUGAGAGGGUGAUCGGCCACACUGGAACUGAGACACGGUCCAGACUCCUACGGGAGGCAGCAGUAGGGAAUCUUCCGCAAUGGGCGAAAGCCUGACGGAGCAACGCCGCGUGAGUGAUGAAGGUCUUCGGAUCGUAAAACUCUGUUAUUAGGGAAGAACAUAUGUGUAAGUAACUGUGCACAUCUUGACGGUACCUAAUCAGAAAGCCACGGCUAACUACGUGCCAGCAGCCGCGGUAAUACGUAGGUGGCAAGCGUUAUCCGGAAUUAUUGGGCGUAAAGCGCGCGUAGGCGGUUUUUUAAGUCUGAUGUGAAAGCCCACGGCUCAACCGUGGAGGGUCAUUGGAAACUGGAAAACUUGAGUGCAGAAGAGGAAAGUGGAAUUCCAUGUGUAGCGGUGAAAUGCGCAGAGAUAUGGAGGAACACCAGUGGCGAAGGCGACUUUCUGGUCUGUAACUGACGCUGAUGUGCGGAAGCGUGGGGAUCAAAC